UCCCUUAGUAGUGGCGAACGAAACGGGAUUAGCCCAUCACGCAGGGUCACGAUUUUAAAUGGUCGUCGACCGGUUCCGUGUAAAGGAGGGUCCAUUAUCUUGCACAUAUAACCAUCAUAUUUAAGUCCAGCUUGAAUGCGGCUCAAUAUACCCACAGAGGGUGCCAGGCCCGUAUAUGUAUGAUGCUUGUGUAAGUGGGCUACCAACUCCUAGGAGUCAUGUUGCUUGAUAGUGCAGCAUAAAGCGGGAGGUAAACUCCUUCUAAGGCUAAAUAUUACCAUGAGACCGAUAGCGAACAAGUACCGUGAGGGAAAGUUGAAAAGCACUCUGAAUAGAGAGUCAAAUAGUACGUGAAACUGUCUAGGGGCUCAAACCUAAAGAACCCAAAUAUCUAAACGGAGAAAUUCAAUAUUACCCCCAAAAGGUAAUGUGCACUUUUCUCUUAGUAAGACGCCGUGAUCCAUUAGAAAUUGGUGCGUUCCCAACGUACACAUUGGGUCAUCACGAGGACGGCACGAAGUUUAUUCGGAACAAAUGGCGUGAUCUUUCACGGUCGCGUGUAUUGUCUGGUAAGCGUGUCCGACACCUGCAAUGACUGUCUGAUGGAUUUUAAGGACCGACAUCAAUGAUGCCUUUAUGACAUCAGUGCCCUUCGGGGCGCACUCACGAUAUGCGUGUCUGAUCAACGGCGGUUAAAUUUGGGAUACCUUUUGGACCCGUCUUGAAACACGGACCAAGGAGUCUAUCUAGUAUGCGAGUAAAUGGAUAGUUUUGAUGAAAUCUAUUUGCAUAAUAAACUUGACUGUUUUAUUUCAUGGGACUACGAUUAGUAAUUUUUAAUCGAGUUACUUUUCCUCCGUCCCGGGGUAUUUCUAUCAAACAUACGGCGCAAGUUGUAUGGGAAAUAUACCAUGAGCACACUGGAUACGACCCGAAAGAUGGUGAACUAUGCCUGAUCAGGUCGAAGUCAGGGGAAACUCUGAUGGAGGACCGAAGCAGUUCUGACGUGCAAAUCG
rnacentral:rRNA from 1 species